rnacentral:lncRNA from 1 species
CGCGCAGCCCCGCCGGCCCAGGCCCCGCCUCCCGCCGGGCGCGCUCCUCACCCCGCAGCCCCCAGCCCGCUUCCGCCUCGACGCCAGGAGGCUCCGGACUCGCCUGCCCGCGGCCUCCGGGCAGGUUUGUACCAGAGGACGAUAAAAUCCGUUGAGGUCAGCGACAGGGCAGGGCCCACCCCAAACCCUCUGUUCUGCCAGCAUUUGUAGAGUUUCCUGCGCUGAAGCAGAACUCCUGCCAGAAAAAGGGUUACUUUCCUCUUUGUGUCUGUCAUCUUCCCGCUCCCCUGGGAGCUCUGAACAUCUUCAGAACAGCCUCUGGGACUUCCUGGGAUGUCCCCUCCCUGGGACCCUAGGGUCGCAGGGCGCUGCGGGCUUUACUGGCGGAGUGUCCGCUCUGUUAGGAAUCAGGUGGAAAGACGACACGUAAUCUAAUCUCUUAUCCUAAUGAGUCACUGAGCUUGUUUUCCCUUUUUCCCUUUCAAAACUGUCAAGGGCGAGCAGAAUCCGCAAAGCUGGUCUCUCUCUGGACAGGAAUCCACCUUCUCCCCCAGAUUGCCGGCUUUUCUGACUAAAGCAUCUUUCUCUUCAGCAGACACACGCCCCUCCACUAUUGGCUCUAGGAGGGAAAAGCCCAGAAGAAACUCUCACCUACUCACACUCGACCACGCUGCUCAGGGCGCCGGCGGUGUGGGUGCUCUGGAAUUUCUCGCCCCUGAAUCUCCACUGGACACGAAAGCCGCUGUUAGGGUAAGACCGGAACCUCGACUCCAGGAAAUCUCGUCCUUCCGCCCCAGAAGAGGAGCCUGGGCCUCAGAUUCCAGCGUCUGAGGAGACCCCCCC